rnacentral:rRNA from 1 species
UACGGAGGGGGCGAGCGUUGUCCGAAGUUACUGGGCGUAAAGCGCGUGUAGGCGGGUUGCCAAGUCCGCUGUGAAAGCCCGAGGCUCAACCUCGGAGGGUCGGUGGAUACUGGCAGUCUUGAAGGUGCUAGGGGGGAGAUGGAAUUACCGGUGUAGCGGUGAAAUGCGUAGAGAUCGGUAGGAACACCAGUGGCGAAGGCGGUCUCCUGGGGCAUUCUUGACGCUGAGACGCGAAAGCUGGGGGAGCGAACGGG